rnacentral:rRNA from 1 species
UACGUAGGUGGCGAGCGUUGUCCGGAUUUACUGGGCGUAAAGGGAGCGUAGGCGGGCUUUUAAGUGAGAUGUGAAAUACUCGGGCUCAACUUGAGUGCUGCGUUUCAAACUGGAAGUCUAGAGUGCAGGAGAGGAGAAUGGAAUUCCUAGUGUAGCGGUGAAAUGCGUAGAGAUUAGGAAGAACACCAGUGGCGAAGGCGAUUCUCUGGACUGUAACUGACGCUGAGGCUCGAAAGCGUGGGGAGCAAACAGG